ACGCCGCGUGAGGGAUGCCGGCCUUCGGGUUGUAAACCUCUUUCAGCAGGGAAGAAGCGCAAGUGACGGUACCUGCAGAAGAAGCGCCGGCUAACUACGUGCCAGCAGCCGCGGUAAUACGUAGGGCGCAAGCGUUGUCCGGAAUUAUUGGGCGUAAAGAGCUCGUAGGCGGUUUGUCGCGUCUGCUGUGAAAACGCGAGGCUCAACCUCGCGCCUGCAGUGGGUACGGGCAGACUAGAGUGCGGUAGGGGAGACUGGAAUUCCUGGUGUAGCGGUGGAAUGCGCAGAUAUCAGGAGGAACACCGGUGGCGAAGGCGGGUCUCUGGGCCGUAACUGACGCUGAGGAGCGAAAGCAUGGGGAGCGAACAGGAUUAGAUACCCUGGUAGUC
rnacentral:rRNA from 1 species